rnacentral:rRNA from 1 species
GACGAACGCUGGCGGCGUGCCUAAUACAUGCAAGUAGAACGCUGAAGGAGGAGCUUGCUCUUCUGGAUGAGUUGCGAACGGGUGAGUAACGCGUAGGUAACCUGCCUGGUAGCGGGGGAUAACUAUUGGAAACGAUAGCUAAUACCGCAUAAGAGUAGAUGUUGCAUGACAUUUGCUUAAAAGGUGCAAUUGCAUCACUACCAGAUGGACCUGCGUUGUAUUAGCUAGUUGGUGGGGUAACGGCUCACCAAGGCGACGAUACAUAGCCGACCUGGGAGGGUGAUCGGCCACACUGGGACUGAGACACGGCCCAGACUCCUACGGGAGGCAGCAGUAGGGAAUCUUCGGCAAUGGACGGAAGUCUGACCGAGCAACGCCGCGUGAGUGAAGAAGGUUUUCGGAUCGUAAAGCUCUGUUGUAAGAGAAGAACGAGUGUGAGAGUGGUAAGUUCACACUGUGACGGUAUCUUACCAGAAAGGGACGGCUAACUACGUG